rnacentral:rRNA from 1 species
UACGUAGGUGACAAGCGUUGUCCGGAUUUACUGGGCGUAAAGGGCGCGUAGGCGGCUUUUCAAGCGUGCGGUGAAAGCUCGGGGCUUAACUCCGAGUCUGCCGUGCGAACUGGGAGGCUUGAGUCUGGUAGAGGUCGAUGGAAUUCCGGGUGUAGCGGUGGAAUGCGUAGAGACCCGGAAGAACACCGGUGGCGAAGGCGGUCGACUGGGCCAGAACUGACGCUGAGGCGCGACAGCGUGGGGAGCAAACAGG